rnacentral:piRNA from 1 species
GGUGCUCUCUAACUGGGUCUCUGCC